UACGUAGGGUGCAAGCGUUGUCCGGAAUUAUUGGGCGUAAAGAGCUCGUAGGCGGUCUGUUGCGUCGGCUGUGAAAACCCGGGGCUCAACUCCGGGCCUGCAGCCGAUACGGGCAGACUAGAGUUCGGCAGGGGAGACUGGAAUUCCUGGUGUAGCGGUGAAAUGCGCAGAUAUCAGGAGGAACACCGGUGGCGAAGGCGGGUCUCUGGGCCGAUACUGACGCUGAGGAGCGAAAGCGUGGGGAUCGAACAGG
rnacentral:rRNA from 1 species